rnacentral:rRNA from 1 species
CCUGAAGAGCGGCGCACGGGUGCGUACGCGUAUGCAACACCUUUACAGGGGAAUAGCCCGUCGAAAGGCGGAUUAUGCCCCAUGGCUCCUUCGAGAGGCAUCUCUUGGAGGGUAAAGAUUCAUCGGUAAAGGAUGGGCAUGCGUGCCAUUAGCUGGAUGGUGGGGUAACGGCCACCAUGGGCGACGAUGGCUAGGGUUCUGAAGGAAGGCCCCCCACACUGGGACUGAACACGGCCAACUCCUACGGGAGGCAGCAGUGAGGAAUAUUGGUCAAUGGGCGGAAGCCUGAACCAGCCAUGCCGCGUGCGGGAAGAAGGCGCUACGCGUCGUAAACCACUUUUGUCCGGGGGUAACCGCGGGGACGUGUCCCCGCCUGCAAGUACCGGACGAAUAAGGGUCGGCUAACUCCGUGCCAGCAGCCGCGGUAAUACGGAGGACCCGAGCGUUAUCCGAAUUCAUUGGGUUUAAAGGGUGCGUAGCGGCCCGGUAAGUCAGGCGGUGAAAGGCUCCUGCUCCACAGGGAGAAGCUUGGCCGGUUGAUAACUGGCUGGGGGCUAGAAAUCUUUAAGCGAGGGCGGGGGCGGGAAAUUGGCGCGGGUG